UCCCAGGGUGGAGGCCACGCAGAGCCUGAAACUUCUCAGGAAGUCAUGCUGCCAAGCACCGGCUGGUC
rnacentral:lncRNA from 1 species